CAUUUUAAUUCACGGACUUUGAUGAAACUUAUUUUAAUAUAGCUUUGUUUUCCUUAUUAAACGACAAGAAAAAAUUACAACAGAUCUCAUAGUGCUUUAAUGUAGUAAAGGUGCUGAGUGUAUCACAGUAGUUAACUUUCUUCCUUUGGAUAUGAACAGCAUGGCUGCUCUACAGGUGUUUUCUCAACCAAUUAUAAAUAUGUAAAGCCUGAAAUUUUAUCAGAGUUUAUGCCUGAACAUGAAAAAUAACAUUCUACUCUCUUAAUUGAGUUUAUCUUAAUCCACAGGGAGUUGAUUUUAUUUCUAUAAAUUUGCUUCUGAUGUCUUUUGCCCUGUAAUAAAUUUAAUAAAGUUUUGAGAUGAAAGAUAUAUCUUAUUUUCUAAGGGUUUCUGAAUUGUGUUAUCCGUCCUUGCUGCAGAACAAGCCUGUAGUACCUGCCUUUCCAACUUACUUUCAUGGGAAGCUAUUUUUCAGCAAAUUAUUUUCCCAGAAAUAUUUCCACUUUGGGGUGUUUUCUGCUGUGCUUCAUUCAAUGUUUCCCUGAAACAGUUUUUUUUUCUCCCCAGAAAAUGAUCAUGUUAAUUAAACUUCAGCCAGUAUUGACAUUUGGAAGAGUUGCUGUGAUCCUGAUGAGAGCUGUCAUUCUUCUGCUUCAUGUCCACACUCUCAUGCCCCACCAAAGGAACAAACUGAGCUUCAGGGGUUGCUUGCUCCAACAGGACUGCUUGGAUUUUGAAAACUACAGCACAGCAGCCUACCGGACUAAAGAUACCUUCUUACUUUUGGCAGAAAACUUUUGCUUUUUUUUUUUUUUUUCUUUCACCUCCUUAUAAUUUUCCUAUGUCUUUUAUUUUUUAAAGCACUUCCAACAUCUGUUUGUGUGUGCACAUAUGUAUGCACUUGCUUCCGUGCCGCUGAUGGACUCAUACUGUGAGCACUGAGAAGGCAAAGGGUUAUGUGGUCUCUCUGCCUCAGUUCCUGUGUUGUUUUGUUCCCUGAGGAAAAUUAACCGUAUGAAAUGCAGUCUGGUUUUCAAAAAAAUAUCAAUGCAAGGUGAGAAGAAAGGUUCAUUUGGUCUUAUGAGGCAGCUCCUGAAGAUAAAUUCGCUAUUCAUUCAUACUUGUUAACUUUUUAAAAGCUACAGCACUAGGUGUGGGGCAUCUGCACCAAUGUUUGGACAUUUAUACUUAUACAGUAAAAUUUUAUUUGCUUUUAUUUACAUGCUUCUCUAAUGGAUAAAACCUCAAUUUUUGAACAAUAUGGAACAAGAGGGAAUCCUCAUAGUGUCUUUUUGAAUAUCACAGUAGACAAAAUAGGUAGGAUGUAGCCCCGUCUGCCACACGGAUGUAAAUUUUUGGUGUGAUGAUAGGAAAUCAUAGAAUCAUUAAGGCUGGAAAAGACUGCUAAGUUAAUCUAGUCCAACCCCAACUCAUCCCCAUCAUGCCCACUAACCAUGUUCCUCAGUGACACAUCUCCACAUUUCUUGAAAACCUCCAGGGACAGUGACUCCAUCACUUCCCUGGGGAGUGCUUGUACUCCUCAAAGGCUGUGACAGCAUUUCUGAUACCCUACCUGUAUUUUUUUACUCUAAGUCAGGGUGUUUGUUUGGGACAUGCAGUUUUACCCCAUCCCAAGGUACUAUCCUCACACACAGACUGAUUGCAGGAUGCUUGAUGAUAGAUUAAAAAAAUAAUAAGAAGAAAAAGAUAUAAAUCUUUCAAUACACAUGAUCUCAUUAUUUAUUUAAUCUGAAGCUGUUUUUAUUUUUGCGUGUACAUUUUAGAUCAACAAAUUAAUGCUGGCAGCUUUCCUACCCGGUACUUUCCAAUUUUCCCAUGCACAGAUUCCCCUGACAUGUUUGUCUCUACCACUGAGGACAUCUACUGAUUCAAAGCCCUCUGCUCUGCAAGCACAGAGCCUGUGCCGUGUACCAGAGUGUGGACCAACCGCAGGCACGGACACCUCUCUUUCAAGACAGUCUGGUUCCCCAAGACGUGACCCAGCAUUUCAGCUAGAGAAAGAAGAAAGCCCUUGGAGAAGGAGUUACUGGCUGGUAUUUCAGUUCAUACUGGAAUGCCACAGUUAAUUGUUGCAUCAUUGCAUUCAACAGAAGCUGAAUCUAGGCAUCACAUAAACAGGCAAAGAUAUCCACAAAAGACAGUAUCUUACAAAGUUGUUUCGUUUCAGAUUCAUCUGUCUAAGGCAGCCAUUGACAGUGACUCUGUGUAACUUUUAAUUAGUGUAUACCUACAAGACUUUAAUAAACUAUUUACAAAUGGGCUGCUCUGUCACAUGGCAUUAUCAGUUCUUUAAACUUAUGUUGUUGAGGAGGUCAAAUGUGAAGAGCUCAUUCCAAGAUUGAAAUAAAAUAUGCCAAGAGUAAUGCUUUGUGGGGAGAUGAUUAACAUUUCUCUAUUCAACAUGGCUGAGAGAUUGCUGUUACAUCCCUUUAUUAAUGUGAAAGUUUUCUUUUGCAACCAAGUGAUGCAGCCUUUUGUAAUUUAGAUAUUAAAGAGAGUUGUUGUUGUUUAAUAAAAAGAAUGAUAAUUUAUUGACA